AGAGUUUGAUCCUGGCUCAGGAUGAACGCUGGCGGCAUGCCUAACACAUGCAAGUCGAACGAGAAAGUGGAGCAAUCCAUGAGUAAAGUGGCGCACGGGUGAGUAACACGUGACUAACCUACCCUUGAGUGGGGGAUAACCUAGGGAAACCUGGGCUAAUACCGCAUAAUACCUACGGGUCAAAGGAGCAAUUCGCUUAAGGAGGGGGUCGCGGCCGAUUAGUUAGUUGGCAGGGUAAUGGCCUACCAAGACGAUGAUCGGUAUCCGGCCUGAGAGGGCGCACGGACACACUGGAACUGAAACACGGUCCAGACUCCUACGGGAGGCAGCAGUGGGGAAUUUUGCGCAAUGGGGGAAACCCUGACGCAGCAACGCCGCGUGGAGGAUGAAGUCCUUCGGGACGUAAACUCCUUUCGAUCGGGACGAUUAUGACGGUACCGGAAGAAGAAGCCCCGGCUAACUUCGUGCCAGCAGCCGCGGUAAUACGAAGGGGGCGAGCGUUGUUCGGAAUUACUGGGCGUAAAGGGCGCGCAGGCGGCCUUUGAAGUCAGAUGUGAAAGCCCUGGGCUCAACCUGGGAAUGGCAUUUGAUACUCGGAGGCUGGAGUGCGGGAGAGGAGAGUGGAAUUCCCAGUGUAGAGGUGAAAUUCGUAGAUAUUGGGAAGAACACCGGUGGCGAAGGCGGCUCUCUGGACCGUAACUGACGCUGAGGCGCGAAAGCGUGGGGAGCAAACAGGAUUAGAUACCCUGGUAGUCCACGCUGUAAACGAUGUGCGCUAGACGUUGGGGGCCCUAGGUCCCCGGUGUCGCAGCCAACGCGUUAAGCGCACCGCCUGGGGAGUACGGCCGCAAGGUUAAAACUCAAAGGAAUUGACGG
rnacentral:rRNA from 1 species